CCUACGGGUGGCAGCAGUGGGGAAUAUUGCACAAUGGGGGAAACCCUGAUGCAGCGACGCCGCGUGAGUGAAGAAGUAAUUCGUUACGUAAAGCUCUAUCAGCAGGGAAGAAAAUGACGGUACCUGAGUAAGCAGCCCCGGCUAACUACGGGCCAGCAGCCGCGGGAAUACGUAGGGGGCAAGCGUUAUCCGGAUUUACUGGGUGUAAAGGGAGCGUAGACGGUGCUCCAAGUCUGGAGUGAAAUGCCGCAGUUUAACUGCGGAACUGCGUUGGAAACUGGCGGACGAGAGUGCGGGAGGGGUAUGCGGAAUGCGCGGUGUAGCGGUGAAAUGCGUAGAUAUUAGGAAGAACUCCGGUGGCGAAGGCAGCUUACUGGACCGACACUGACGUUGAGGCUCGAAAGCGUGGGGAGCGAACAGGAUUAGAUACCCGGGUAGUC
rnacentral:rRNA from 1 species